rnacentral:ncRNA from 1 species
UCAUCGGUAUUCCCGUUUUCCGGGAAUUGAAAAGGGAAGGCAGUGCGAAUCUGCCGCAGCCCGCUCUACUGUGAUGGGGAGCGCUUCGUUAAAAACCAUUGGCGUUUUGCUGAGAAGGGGACGAAGCGCGCGGAACCUAAGCCAGGAGACCUGCCGGUGAAAA